rnacentral:lncRNA from 10 species
AGAGCCCCGCCUGUCCUCGGCCUACCGCGGCGAGCAGGCAUUCCGGGUCAGACCGGCGCGGGGCGCUGCGGCCCAACUCCUUAGUAGGACGACGUGACUCGAGGGGCCGGAGGACGGAGGUGGGAGCCCGGGCUAGAGGGUGGAGGCUGGGGAGGUUGCCUGGUCACUCUGGCGCUCCGCUGCCGGGGGCAUCCUCCGGCCCAGCAAAGGUGCAGCCUGGGAAGAAGGCGUCAGCACCACCCAGAGAAGAGGAGAGGGGACUUGGCACGCCUCAGGAAGGAAAAAAGGAAGGCUCUCGGGACCACCCAAUAAGCAACCGGGAAACCACAUACCAUGGACAGUGCUCGGGGAAUUUCGGCUCCUCCUCAUCCCUGGAGGUUCCAGGGAUCUGGCAGAGAAAGAAGCCCAGUCUCACAGCAAUGACUCCUGAACAUCCUUUGCAAACACUAUUUAGGACAGAUGGACUGAAGUAGGCCCUGGGGAGAGUUGGGGGCAUUUCCGGAGGCCAGACCAAAGUAUAGUUUCCUUGAUGGCAAAACAUGUUUCUCACUGGUCUCUGAAUCCCUGAAACUAGCCCAGUGCACGACAGUUCAUGCUCGGUUAAUAUGAAGAGAAGGCAACUUAUCUGGCUGCAGCGCUGAGAAUGGUUGGAGGGAGUUGUGACUGGAGACAGUGAGACCAGGUAGGAGGAUGAGGAAUAAACCAUCCAAAAAAUUAUGAAGGCUUCAGCAGAAUAGCACUGGGGAUAGGGAAAGGGGAUGGAUCUGCAGGAUCUAAGGAUUUGGUGACCAAUGCUUAAGGGACAUGACAGAGCUUAAGGAGCCUAGGAGAUUGCCCAAGUUUCUGGCUGUGUCACUGGAUGAGGUUGGUGCACUCACUGAGCAGGGAACACUGGGGAGGGUCUGGAAGCUGGACAGCAGGGAAGCUCAUUGAUGUGAGGAGCAGAGCAGGCUGGAGAAGGGUGGACAGCAGAUCUGAAGGAGGAAACGGAAGACAUCCAGUAUGGAUAUGUUAAGCUUGAUGUCUCCCAGGAUAUACAGAUAGAGGUAUUGGAAUUACAGACUUGGGGCUCAGGUGAAUGUUCUAGGCUGGAGAUAAAAUGUGAGCAUGGUUAGCAUGGAGGUGGUAACUGAAACCACGGGAGUAGACAGUGCUGCUCAGGGAGAGAGUAGAAUGGGAAGAGGAGAGAGAGUCGGUAUCAGAGCUCUGAGGAACAUGAGAGGCAGAGAGAGGAAGAGGAACUCAGAAGUCGUCUGAGAACAAGCCUCUGGAGGAGUGGAAGGAGAACCCGGAGAGUAUUGGACCAAGAGAGUCACGGGAAGACAGGUUUUCAAGGAGGACUGACACUAUCGAAUGCUUCUGAGACUUCAAAGGACUAAAUGGCCUUUGGCUUUAGUAUUGACCAGAGUCACCUGUGGCCCCAGGAGCUACAA